UUAUUUUGCUUUCUACAUAAUUUCUUAUCAAAAUAGAUUUCGCUAAUCAGUCAUUAGAAACAAUUAGUGGCUAAAUAUUGAAUUUGGCAUUGUCCUUACGAAUUGUCUAAUUGGUUAUGAGAAAUUGUUUGUAAGCAUAAGGUUGCAGAUUGGAAGAGAGAAAGGGAUGAUAAUGUACUGUGUUAGAGUGACAACUAUGGCCAUGGCUGUUCCUUCAUGGAGGCCCACGUGCUGCGCAUCUUCAUCAUCUUCUUCUUCUGCUUCUACAGCUGUCAUCAACACAGAGCAACUGCGUUCUCAAAUUGAUCAUCUUCAUGCUGAGGCUGACACCACCAGAGCCAAGGCAACUAAUGCUAGAUUGAGGCUUCUGCGGUUGUCAGAAGCUGCAGAGAAGCUUCAAAAACAGGCAGUUAUAAGCAUUCAAAAGGGGGAGGAAAAUUAUGCAAGGGAAAUGCUUUUUAAGAGGAAGAAGGUGUUGCAGGCUUUGGACAAGUCUAAAAGACGCAUUGAAUUGCUUGAUGAGCUUUCCGCAAAGUUAAGUGAGUUUCAGGCAAUAUCUUUGAAAGAAAGUCAGCUAAUUGGAAAUGUUAAUGUGAACAUUGAAGACAUAACAAAAGAUGCUUCAAGUCCAGUUCGAAUUGUUGCUCCAAAGGAGGAAGUUCAAAAUGAUUUCAGUACGACAAGACAUAACUUAGAUCCUGAAACGAUGGACUUCGACAAUAUUCAAGAUGUGCAACUGUCUAUCGAAAGUGAAGGAAAUUCACUGGAUGUUAAGGAGAUUCAGAAUCUUCAGGAAUCCGUUAGUGUAGGAAUUUCAAAUGAAGACAGUAUAGCCAGAAACUUGUCAGAAAUAUCCUCGUAUGAGGAUUUCAUGGAACGGAUAGACAAAAAGCUCAGUGAAAUUGAAGCUGAACUAGUUACUGUUUUGAACGUCUCAACCUUGCUACUUGUUAAUGAAGAGAGACCAAAUAAUUCCAGGUUGCAACAAACAAUCGAACUCCUUGAGACCAUCCAUGGAAUUAGGAAGAGAAUUAGAAGAACCAAGGAGGCAGAACUGAGGAUCUGAAAAAUUUUGUUUUGCUUAACACAUCUUCUACAUCCAGGUCAGAACUAACUUCAUUGGAAGAAAAAGGUUUGCAAAAUUUUUCUUGUAUCAGUUAAUGUGGAAACAGGAAAGGUACAUCCGAGAUGCUUGUUAUUAGUUUAUUAAAAUGAAGAGGUGUUGUUAUCUUCAUUUAGCAUUAUUCUUUCCAAAUUGCGAUCAUAUGAUUGAUCAUGGAGGAACAGCAGAUUGAGAAAUUUUCCAAAGGAGUAAGGAACUAAGAAUAGCGUAGUGUAGUUUCUUGUCCAUUGUUUCAAACUUUUCUAACCUUAAUCUGUCUCAUAAAUGAACGUAAUAAUGAAGUAUUUUUGGAGGAUUCCAUGAAAUGUUGUGUAAGGUAAUGCAGCAUCACUUACCUUGCAGGAGUUGGCAACCUAGUGAUGUCAUAUAUGAGUCUAAUGAGACAGUUACAUAUAAGUACGUACAUACACACACAUACACAUGUAUAUAUAUGUUUUGGUAAAUUAUUCUUUUAAUCACUUGUCAACUGCUAUGAAUAGAUGACAAAUUAACUCAUUUAUUAAUCACUAACUGACCGAACCAUUUGUUUUGGUAUUACUGCUAUUGUUUUAGCUGCUGAUUUUCGAAGACUAUUAUCGUGAUGAAUCCUACAAUCCUAAAUUUGCAUACCCGAAUUGUUAAAAAAGGCGUUGUUGUCACCACGAGUUUUAAACUAAUUGCUUUAUAGAAUUGUAACCAAAACCUUUCAAUUGCAGAAAAUGUACAGAACAAAAAACGUAUUCAUAACUAGACUGCACAAAUUUCUGUGAACUAAUGUACUAAUUAUGCUAGCACCUUCAGCAGUUUUCUUGCAUCUGAAAUGUCCCUUUCAUGAUAUUUAAAACAUAUUAGUUUGAAGUAUGGCAUGCUUAACUAUUAUCACUAAUUAACUUGCACACAAACCUACCAAAUCCAAGAUGUUUAAUGGUAGUCAUUCAGAUGUACAGUCCCUUUUUCUCCCAUCUCCGAGUACCUUUUGAUGCAAGAAAAUUGUCAAAUAUUAUUCAGAACGGAGUACCACAAAAUUCCAAAUUGUGUAUUCUUUUACAUUGAGGUAUGACAUCACAUCAGGAAACCAAUAGAACUAGGAUUACAAAGUAAGAGUAAUAAUGGGGCACCCGCGAUAUUAUGCUUUUCAAUUUUCACAAGUGUUGGUGCAAGUAAAGGAAAUGCUUCUAUUCACUGAGUAUCCGUAUUUCAUGCGUAUGGACAACUGAUUUCAAAUGGUUUCAGUACCAGAAACAGUCGCUCCAUUCACAGGAUGAGAUUGCAAACAUGGUACACUCUACAGUAGUGGAAGUCUCGUAUACUGUUCUGGCCUUUUAGAAGAGAUGUUUGAAUUACACAGUUCCCAUGAGGUCAGCAAGAGUAAUCUUGACAUGCAUGCCAAGUCGUUUUGAUGGGUUUAAGACUUCAUUUUCUAUAUUGCAACAUAUAUAGUCCGAAGCCAUUGUCAACCAACCAUAUUGGAAUUAUGUCACUAUUAAUCAUGAAGACCAAACAGUUGGAAUUUGAAUUGAGUUCAUUUUCCAUUUUCAGCUACAUAUAGUUCAUAAGGUUAUUAUUCUGCUGUUGUGGUUACUUACGACUGAUGAGGGUGAAAUCAUAUGACGAUGAGAGAGAUGAGAAAGGAAUUUUAACUAAGAUGAUGCAAAUUUACAGUGAGUGUUGUGACAACAGUGAAAGAGGUUUGAACUGCAUGAUAUUUUCUUGAUUUAAAAUAAAAUAGUUCUUCUUGGAAACGGUGGUAAACUAUAUAUGCACAUGUCCCGAUACGAGAUUACGAGGAUCUUUGAUUUCUGUACCGGUCAUGCUCUUUAUAACUGUUGUAAAGGAAAAACAACUAGAAAAUGUUCAAGUAAACUGAUCUACUCAUGAU